rnacentral:rRNA from 1 species
UGACUNGAGUGCAGAAGGGGAGAGUGGAAUUCCAUGUGUAGCGGUGAAAUGCGUAGAUAUAUGGAGGAACACCAGUGGCGAAAGCGGCUCUCUGGUCUGUCACUGACGCUGAGGCUCGAAAGCGUGGGUAGCGAACAGGAUUAGAUACCCUGGUAGUNCACGCCAUAAACGAUGAGUGCUAGGUGUUAGGCCCUUUCCGGGGCUUAGUGCCGGAGCUAACGCAAUAAGCACUCCGCCUGGGGAGUACGACCGCAAGGUUGAAACUCAAAGGAAUUGACGGGGGCCCGCACAAGCGGUGGAGCAUGUGGUUUAAUUCGAAGCAACGCGAAGAACCUUACCAGGUCUUGACAUCCCGAUGCUAUUCUUAGAGAUAGGAAGUUACUUCGGUACAUCGGAGACAGGUGGUGCAUGGUUGUCGUCAGCUCGUGUCGUGGGAUGUUGGGUUAAGUCCCGCAACGAGCGCAACCCUUAUUGUUAGUUGCCAUCAUUAAGUUGGGCACUCUAGCGAGACUGCCGGUAAUAAACCGGAGGAAGGUGGGGAUGACGUCAAAUCAUCAUGCCCCUUAUGACCUGGGCUACACACGUGCUACAAUGGUCGGUACAACGAGUUGCGAGCCGGUGACGGCAAGCUAAUCUCUGAAAGCCGAUCUCAGUUCGGAUUGGAGGCUGCAACUCGCCUCCAUGAAGUCGGAAUCGCUAGUAAUCGCGGAUCAGCACGCCGCGGUGAAUACGUUCCCGGGCCUUGUACACACC